rnacentral:rRNA from 1 species
GAUGAACGCUAGCGAUAGGCCUAACACAUGCAAGUCGAGGGGCAGCACAUGAGUAGCAAUACGAUGGUGGCGACCGGCGCACGGGUGAGUAACACGUAUGCAACCUACCUUUAACAGGGGAAUAACCCGUUGAAAAACGGACUAAUACUCCAUAACACAGGGGUCCCGCAUGGGAAUAUUUGUUAAAGAUUUAUCGGUUGAAGAUGGGCAUGCGUUCCAUUAGCUUGUUGGUGAGGUAACGGCUCACCAAGGCUACGAUGGAUAGGGGAACUGAGAGGUUUAUCCCCCACACUGGAACUGAGACACGGUCCAGACUCCUACGGGAGGCAGCAGUGAGGAAUAUUGGUCAAUGGAGGCAACUCUGAACCAGCCAAGUCGCGUGAAGGAUGAAGGUCUUAUGGAUUGUAAACUUCUUUUGCAAGGGAAUAAAGUGGGGGACGUGUCCUCCUUUGCAUGUACCUUGCGAAUAAGGAUCGGCUAACUCCGUGCCAGCAGCCGCGGUAAUACGGAGGAUCCGAGCGUUAUCCGGAUUUAUUGGGUUUAAAGGGUGCGCAGGCGGGAUGUUAAGUCGGCGGUGAAAUUUUGCAGCUCAACUGUAAAAGAGCCUUCGAAACUGGCAAGCUUGAGUGUGGAUGAAGUAGGCGGAAUUUGUGGUGUAGCGGUGAAAUGCAUAGAUAUCACAAGGAACACCGAUUGCGCAGGCAGCUUACUAAACCAUAACUGACGCUCAGGCACGAAGGCGUGGGGAUCAAACA